rnacentral:misc_RNA from 1 species
AACCGAAUUAUUUUAAAAAUCAAAUUCGAAUUAUCUUAAAAAUCGAACCGAAUUAUCAAAUUAAGACGGUUCGGUUCGGUUUAUUUGAUUCAAACAAAAUAGUGCUCACCCUUAAACCAAAGGUUUGCAAAAGUUCAAAUUUGAAAAUUUGAUUGAAAAUUUGAGAGAGAGGCUUAGAAUUCAAAGCAGCAUUUGUGUCAAGGAGGAGUGAAGGUGCAACAGUUGUGAUACUAAUGCUGUCACAUUAGA